rnacentral:rRNA from 1 species
UACGUAGGUGGCAAGCGUUACUCGGAAUCACUAGGCGUAAAGCGCGGGUAGGCGGUUGGGUAAGUCUCUUGUGAAAGCUCCCGGCUUAACUGGGAGAGGUCAAGGGAAACUACCUGGCUAGAGUGCGGUAGAGGAAGCUGGAAUUCCUGGUGUAGCGGUGAAAUGCGCAGAUAUCAGGAGGAACACCGAUGGCGAAGGCAGGUCUCUGGGCCACUACUGACGCUGAGAAGCGAAAGCAUGGGGAGCGAACAGG